rnacentral:sRNA from 1 species
UCUACGUGUAAAAUUCCUGCGCCGGCAACAUAAUUUGCCAUUUUAAUAAAUGCAGCAGCGUCUAAAAAUAGCCAGGCGAAUGUGGUGAGGACUGGUUAGCAUGUUACCAUGACUCCAUUUGCCUGUUGCCAUCCGCCAGUUCCGCAUCUGAAUCAGCGCGGCCGCAGGAAUCCGGAGAAGGAGAUGGUGAAAUGUUUGCCAGAUGCGGCGGAAGUAUUAGGAGCAACCUGUUGCCCGCCAUUCGGACCCAUGAGCAAUUACUUCAGUUCGAGAAUGGGAAUGCUGUCUGCACUUUAGAUAACAAAUAACUGGAUUCGAUUCGCGACUCGAGUGCUGGGACUCAUGUUUAUAAAUAGCAGAUGCGCGGCGGCUGAAUCAGACGACCGGCGAUUAUCGAAUGGCUUCGGCUUCCAUUCAUGAUGCCUGGGAUGGGAUCAAAGGUACUAGAUAACCUACUACAUCCGCCAAGUCGAACUGAGUGGGUAAUUAAUGAUGGAACUUAGAAUGGAGAACCACAGAGCGAAAAUAGCAAAAGCGUGAUUCAAUUAGGCGGCCAAUUGCUGAUGAACUGUUAAUUGAGUUUGCUGAUUAUUCGCCAGUCACCCGAUUGUUUGCAUUUAAAUUGUCUCAUUUGCCCAGAUUUCAGUUUUCAGUUUCCAGACCCAAUAUCUGGAACUGGAUUGCGCCCCGAGGGGCAAGUCGAGCGGCAGCAAUUGACACAGAAAGCUGGCCAAAAGCCGCCUAAGCGCCACUUGAAUGACCAGCUUUUGGCCAAAACACAAUGUGCUGUUGGCCGUUCCAAACAAACACUUGUCGACGCCAUCGACCUGAAGAGUUUGCUGACCAGACGACCGGCAGGCCGACCGGCUCAUCCAUUCCUCGCGUGCACUCCGCAAAUGGGUCAGGCCCCCGAAUCGAAAAUGUGUGCCGUAUCUCGAACGGUUCAAUUGCCCCAUGCCCACAGAGAUAACUAAUGAAAAUCUUUGAUUAUCUGGCCGGGGCACGUUGCGUGUUUGCCUGCUGGCCGCCAGCAAGUUGCACAACUCCAAAUUAAUCUGCUCAAGUUUUUUGGGCGCUGACUUUUCGGCCACAUAGUUCAUUAGACGUGCGUGAAAUGCAAAAUCUUCGAUUGCAAAUUUGAAUCGCAAAUUUUGAGCGUUAAUCAAUCAACAUUAUAUUGUUUAUCCAGUUCAAAUCCCCAGCAUCCGAGUUAACCCAUCGUAAUCAGCGACAAAUUACAUUACAAGGCGGGGCGACCCUGACACUGAAGAUGGCCCAUCAUCCCGAACUUGACGGCGGCACUUCAGGAGGAUUUGGAUACGGAUUGAGUGCCGGGAAUGGUAGUGGGAAGAUGAUACCGAGUGCAGUCGCCUGCAGUUCACGGCUAUUCAAAUUCGAAUUCCUUAAGCCUUUAAUGACAUCGGGAAAGGAGCUUCGAGUCUGGAUAUACGAGCACAUCCAUUAGGCACUCACGAGAUGCGGACAUUGAACCUUGAAAUAGACCUUAGAGAGUUGGCGAAGAAAACACAAAAACCUGGCGGCGACUGAUGCGAAACCAACGAAAAUAAGUUGGAAAUGAAAACUGGUUUGGUUUAAGCCAAGUUAGAACACUAAGUCAGCCAGCAAAGAAUCAAAAACAAAAGGCCUUACUCUUACUCAUAUUAAUAAUAAUAGUUAUACACGGGAUGGGCUCCACAAAGGGCUGUAAACAAGCUACUGCCGCGGAAAAUUCUAGUCAUUCUAAUUUGAGAUAUUCCCAACUUGCGAAAUGAGAUGUUUGUUUAGUCAGAUCUCAAUCGACAUUCCUGAUCACAGAAGGAGAUUUAUGAACACAUUACGAGAAAGAUGCCGUGCGUGCCAUUGAUAUUAUAAUUCACUGAUUAUGUUCGGCUAGAAAUGGAGUUGGAUUUAUGAAUGUCCGCCGGUUCGGUUGUCAAGCCAGAGUCACGAAAGCCACCACUGGAUGGUACUUCAACCUCAAGCUGCUCAAGUGCCUUGUAAUCGCUCUGUGAAUCACUAAAGCGGAUUGCUGUUUAAUUCCGAUUCUGGUGGCGUCUAUAUGGUGGCGGAAAUAGCCAGACGAAAGCGCCUUAAAGCCCGGGCUUUUCGUGCAACCCGAUUGCAUAAUCGAAUUUGGGGCUAGAACUUUGGAGUAGACCGGCGAUGCCAAAGACGAUUUGCAGAUUGCCCGUAAUCGCACACCCGGAGCAUAUUAGUAUUGGGGAGUCGUGUUCCAUCCAAGCUGAUGAUUAUCUUUGGAGCCCCUAAGACCCGCCAUCGAAAUCGAAGAUCGACCCCAAGCGCUGGCAGCCUUGAAGCGUUUUGCAGAAGGCGAUUCGUCGGCACAACAAUGGCGAUUGCCAGCUGAAAAUCGUCAAAUUCAAUUAAACUUAAA